AAAUGACCUCCGGGUCGAUCCCAGGUACAUCGGCCGCCGACCAGGCAAAUACAUCGGUAUUGGCUCGGAGGAAUUCCACCAACCGGGCCCGAGCUCCCGGAUCGAGAUUGGCGCCGACCCGGACCGCCUGGUCGGGGCGGCCUUCCUCGAGGGGGACUUUGACCACACCCUCGGCCGGCUCCCCCUGCCGCAAGGCCACCUCGUCUCUGGCAUCAAGGGACUCGACGCUUAGGGCUUCCACGGGCUUCUU
rnacentral:lncRNA from 1 species